UGGGGAAUAUUGCACAAUGGGCGCAAGCCUGAUGCAGCGACGCCGCGUGAGGGAUGACGGCCUUCGGGUUGUAAACCUCUUUCAGUACAGACGAAGCGCAAGUGACGGUAUGUACAGAAGAAGCACCGGCCAACUACGUGCCAGCAGCCGCGGUAAUACGUAGGGUGCGAGCGUUGUCCGGAAUUACUGGGCGUAAAGAGCUCGUAGGUGGUUUGUCGCGUUGUUCGUGAAAACCUGAGGCUUAACCUCGGGCGUGCGGGCGAUACGGGCAGACUGGAGUACUGCAGGGGAGACUGGAAUUCCUGGUGUAGCGGUGGAAUGCGCAGAUAUCAGGAGGAACACCGGUGGCGAAGGCGGGUCUCUGGGCAGUAACUGACGCUGAGGAGCGAAAGCGUGGGGAGCGAACAGG
rnacentral:rRNA from 1 species